rnacentral:ncRNA from 1 species
UGAAUUGCGUUGAAAGGGAAGAGUACACCGACUGUCCUUAAAGAGAGGAAAAUCAAAGCUGAGAGAUUUUCUAAGGAAACAGCGCUGGAAGGUCGCCCUGGAGCAGCUUCUUUGAAAAAAGUUUGUUCUUUUUAGAAGAAGACGGCAAAAACCGUUAUCCGUCAAUGAGUGUGCAAAAAGCCAUGCUUUUGCUUUUUGCAAACAAAGGUGGUACCGCGAACAUGCUUCUUUCGUCCUUUGA